rnacentral:rRNA from 1 species
CAGCCGCCACGGGAAUACGAAGGGUGCAAGCGUUACUCGGAAUUACUGGGCGUAAAGCGUGCGUAGGUGGUGGUUUAAGUCCGUUGUGAAAGCCCUGGGCUCAACCUGGGAAUUGCAGUGGAUACUGGGUCACUAGAGUGUGGUAGAGGAUAGUGGAAUUUCCGGCGUAGCAGUGAAAUGCGUAGAGAUCGGAAGGAACAUCUGUGGCGAAGGCGACUAUCUGGGCCAACACUGACACUGAGGCACGAAAGCGUGGGGAGCAAACAGGAUUAGAUACCCCCGUAGUCCCUGUCUCUUAUAA